ensembl:lncRNA
CCGGUCCUUCCCUGUCGCCACUGCCUGCCAGCUUCGGCAGUCGGGACAGCCAAUGGUGGGCUAAGUGUCGCUUGCACUGCCAGUCUACGGGAAGAGAGCGCUUCCCAGCGACCCUCCUCAGACCGGUUUAUACACUGCCAUUGGCUGCUGGGUAUCAAACAUCAGAAGCUCAGUGGCGUCCUGGAGAAUGACUGCACAAAUGGAUCUUGGAAUAUGAUCUGACACUGUGUGUGUACAGGGCCCUGACCCACUGGUGUCAAGACAACCAUCUCACCCUCAACGUCGCAAAGACAAAGGAGUUGAUAGUGGACUUCCGGAGGUGCAGAGAAGUACACAUCCCCAUCACCAUCAACGGCGCUGCUGUGGAGAGAGUGAGCAGCUUCCGGUUCCUUGGUGUACACCUG